rnacentral:rRNA from 1 species
UACGUAGGGUGCAAGCGUUAUCCGGAAUUAUUGGGCGUAAAGAGCUCGUAGGCGGUUUGUCGCGUCUGCUGUGAAAACUCGGGGCUUAACUCCGGGCCUGCAGUGGGUACGGGCAGACUAGAGUGCGGUAGGGGAGACUGGAAUUCCUGGUGUAGCGGUGAAAUGCGCAGAUAUCAGGAGGAACACCAGUGGCGAAGGCGGCUAUCUGGACGGUUUCUGACGCUAAGACGCGAAAGCGUGGGGAGCAAACAGG